rnacentral:lncRNA from 1 species
AGCCGCGCUCUGCGCACGCGCGGAUCUCGGGUCUCAGCUCCGGAUUCACUGCUGACCGCCGUCCGCCUCGCGUGGGGCAGAUGCUCUGGACGCCCAACCCUGACCUGUAGCUUCUCAAACCAGCCGCUGGGACCUCGGAAGCAGCUGCGACCUUGGGACCAGGCAGCUGCUGAUGUAUCAGAAAGCAACUGAAGCCUCCAGCCGCAAGUUUAGUGUGAAGACGUCAGUUCACAAUGCCAGUCCUGGAAAUGAGUUACUGCAAAGGAGAAAACCACACAAAGCCUAGGAGAGCAGUGAGGGGGUGGAGAGAAGAGGUGGAUGCCAGUGCCACGGCCAACAUCCUUUUGACAACACCAGCAAACGUGGAGCGAUCUGGUGCAAAUUAAAAGACCAAUGUGAGAUAUGGCUCUGUGGCUAAUAGCACGAGUUGUUCUUCCAGAAGACCCAGGCUUGAUCCCCAGCUCAACUGUUGGUGGCCAAUAACCUUCUGCUAACCGGGUCCCAGGGGAUCUGAUGCUAUCUUCUGGCUUUCUCUGGUACUGGACACAUAAGUGGUAUACACUUGUAAAUUCUACAAAACAGACACAAACACACACACACAAUGGAAGACCAAUAUGAUUUGUAGAUGCUGUCUCAAAAUAGGUUGUUUUGCAGAGCUAUUCUAAGAUCAGAAAACUGUUUUGCCUUAGGCUGGGCUUGGAGAAGUCCUUGACUGCAUCCUAGUUAAGACCAGAAUAGACCUUAACAAGCUCUGUCUGAAAUCUUAGGGUAUCAGGAUACUAUUUCAGGUGGUUCCACUCUUUAAUGAGCAGACUCUGGUAUUCAGGAUACUUCUUGUAACUCAACAAUUCACAAUGUAAAUGUGUUUUAAAACUAAUUAAUUUAUUUUUACUUUGGGUA